rnacentral:rRNA from 1 species
AAUAGAUACCCAGGUAGUCCACGCCGUAAACGAUGUCGACUUGGAGGUUGUUCCCUUGAGGAGUGGCUUCCGGAGCUAACGCGUUAAGUCGACCGCCUGGGGAGUACGGCCGCAAGGUUAAAACUCAAAUGAAUUGACGGGGGCCCGCGACAAGCGGUGGAGCAUGUGGUUUAAUUCGAUGCAACGCGAAGAACCUUACCUGGUCUUGACAUCCACAGAAUUCUGCAGAGAUGCGGAAGUGCCUUCGGGAACUGUGAGACAGGUGCUGCAUGGCUGUCGUCAGCUCGUGUUGUGAAAUGUUGGGUUAAGUCCCGCAACGAGCGCAACCCUUAUCCUUUGUUGCCAGCGGUUAGGCCGGGAACUCAAAGGAGACUGCCAGUGAUAAACUGGAGGAAGGUGGGGAUGACGUCAAGUCAUCAUGGCCCUUACGACCAGGGCUACACACGUGCUACAAUGGCAUAUACAAAGAGAAGCGACCUCGCGAGAGCAAAGCGGACCUCAUAAAGUAUGUCGUAGUCCGGAUCGGAGU